GCCUUUGUGGUGUAGUGGUCAGCACGCUCGACGCAUAACCGAGAGGUACGUGGUUCGAUUCCCGGAGAAGGCG
rnacentral:tRNA from 1 species